UGGGGAAUCUUGGACAAUGGGGGCAACCCUGAUCCAGCGACGCCGCGUGGGUGAUGAAGGCCUUCGGGUUGUAAAGCCCUUUCGACGGGGACGAUGAUGACGGUACCCGGCGAAGAAGCACCGGCUAACUCCGUGCCAGCAGCCGCGGUAAGACGGAGGGUGCUAGCGUUGUUCGGAAUCACUGGGCGUAAAGGGCGCGUAGGCGGCCCAUGGCGUCGGCUCGUGAAAGCCCGGGGCUCAACCCCGGAGGUGCGGCCGAUACACAUGGGCUGGAGGCCGGAAGAGGAGGGUGGAAUACCCAGUGUAGAGGUGAAAUUCGUAGAUAUUGGGUGGAACACCGGUGGCGAAAGCGGCUCUCUGGUCCGGUCCUGACGCUGAGGCGCGAAAGCGUGGGGAGCAAACAGGAUUAGAUACCCCCGUAGUCC
rnacentral:rRNA from 1 species